rnacentral:rRNA from 1 species
GGGGAAUAUUGCACAAUGGGGAAAACCCUGAUGCAGCGACGCCGCGUGGAGGAAGAAGGUCUUCGGAUUGUAAACUCCUGUUGUUGGGGAAGAUAAUGACGGUACCCAACAAGGAAGUGACGGCUAACUACGUGCCAGCAGCCGCGGUAAAACGUAGGUCACAAGCGUUGUCCGGAAUUACUGGGUGUAAAGGGAGCGCAGGCGGGAAGACAAGUUGGAAGUGAAAUCCAUGGGCUCAACCUAUAAACUGCUUUCAAAACUGUUUUUCUUGAGUAGUGCAGAGGUAGGCGGAAUUCCCGGUGUAGCGGUGGAAUGCGUAGAUAUCGGGAGGAACACCAGUGGCGAAGGCGGCCUACUGGGCACCAACUGACGCUGAGGCUCGAAAGUGUGGGUAGCAAACAGGAUUAGAUACCCUGGUAGUCCACACCGUAAACGAUGAUUAACUGGUGUUGGGGCAU